AUGUGCUGCUCACGGUGCUCCCACCUGGGGGGCUGGAAGGGGAGCAGUGCUUUCAGAUCCUGCCGAGAUCUGCUAAGGCAUCUGACAGCAUUAAAAUGGCUGAUGGCAAACCCAGCGGCACCGCUGAUGGGAAGCGCGGCUGUAAAACUCUCCUGGCAUUUUGUUGGUGAGGCGUGUCUGCAGAGAAGCAGAUGGAAAGGCAGCCCCUGCUCCCUGCCAGCUUGUGCUGCUGGGGAUUGGGGGUGUGCUGGGGCUGUACUGGGUGCCCUGGGGGUGCUCCAGCACCAGGACCAUGGCCGGGAGGGAGAGGACAGCCCAUCACAUGAGGGGGAGCGUCUGCCCUGGCUCGCUCCGAGGUUUCCGGAUGAUAAGCAAUUAGGAGAGAGAGAUUUACAGCAGAUUAAGUCCGAAGGCAAAGUCCAUUAUCUGCCCAGAGGAGCUCCAGCGAGGAGGCCUGUGGCUGGGGGCAGGGUUUUUUGGCUGGUGGAGCCCAUCCUGAUCAUACCCGGGGGCAGCGCGCUCCUGCCUGGGCUGCAGGGAGGCACGGGGGGCAUGGAGCUGGGGCCAGGCUGGGAAAGGGCACACCAAGGACUUGGGUUCCUCUCCCACUGGCAUCUCAGGGGCUGUGCCAGUGCCUCCAGGAGAAGCUGGGGGAGCCAGCAGGGCUGCAGAGGAGCCCUCGUGCAUCCCCAGCCGGGCAGGGCGAUCCCAUCCCAUGGCUCAGGUGCUUGGUGCCAGGGGCGCAGCGAAGGCAGAGCGAUGGUCUCUGGAAUUGCUCCUUCUGGUGCAGUUGGUGGACACAAGCGGCAGCAGGGAUGGCCGUUAAUCAUUCUGGUUGUUUUCCACAUUGCCUCUUGCUGCUUACUAGUGCAGCUUGAAGAAGUGCAUUAAGGAGCAGGGAUGCAUCUUCAGCCUCGGUGCGGAUGCUGCAAGGGAAUGCCCAGGGCACCCUGCCUGGCUGUGCCCCUGCUCAGAGCAGUACCAGUGUGGGGGGGCACAGAGGUUAAGCUACCCCAGAGCCCCCCAAAGCUCAGCCUGCUCCUGGAGAGGUGUGGCAAGCUUUUGCAAACCCAGAGGAGAGAACUAGUGGAGGUGCAAGUCUGGUUCCCUAAAUACUGCCCAGCACGCUUCACCUGCUGUGCAAUUCUGAACUUACUGUUUGCUAAGGGGGGGUCUUUUAGUGUAAGAAAAGCAAAUGGGAGCUGACAACGAGAGGUCUUGUCUUACCUGUGCUGGUGUCCCCAAAGCGCUGACCCUAGGCUGAGAGCGGUGGUGGCCCAGGGGGCAGAGAACAUCCCCUGCCAGCACAUCGUGCUGGGAGAACGCCCGCCUGGUCAGCUCCAGUUUUCUUAAUUUAUAGUAAGAACAGCUUGCAUUUAUUUAUCCCUUGUGGUCCUUUGGGCACCUUACGGUUGCUCACCAAUGAAUUCCCACACAACCUCAUUAGGGUGAUGCUCCUGUUCCUAAUUUACCUCCAGGUAGCCCCGCUGCAGGAAGCCAUCUGAAGACAUUUGGGAGAGCGGAGGGCGGUGAGCGCAGGUGGGGCGCAGAUUUCCUCUCCCCCCUUGCAGCCACACGAGCAAUCGCACUCCAGGUAACGCUGCCAGCAGAGCAAGCAGCAGGAGACGAGCUCGCUGCUUGGCUAUUACACAAGCAAACCACCAAGAGUCGGAGCCCAGCCGGAUCCAUCCCCAGCACAUGCAUUAUCCCCUACCAGCACUGCCAAGGAACGAGGAGGUUUUGUGGUUGUUUGCAUCCCAUGGAGGCAACUAAGGUAAUCAAUGCCUAAUAUUCCUAAUUCCCAAACGAUGUGUGUUUCUGGAAAUAUAUUUUUUUUUAAUUAAAAAAAUGAGUUUAAUAAUCAUCUGUGUGAGCAUUCCCCUCAAGGGGU
rnacentral:lncRNA from 1 species